rnacentral:rRNA from 1 species
GAUGAACGCUAGCGGGAGGCCUAACACAUGCAAGCCGAGCGGUAUGGGUAGCUUGCUACCCAGAGAGCGGCGUACGGGUGCGUAACACGUGUGCAACCUGCCCCUAUCCGGGGGAUAGCCCUCCGAAAGGAGGAUUAAUACCCCAUAAUAUAUCUGGUGGCAUCACUAGAUAUUGAAAACCCCGGUGGAUAGGGAUGGGCACGCGCAAGAUUAGAUAGUUGGCGGGGUAACGGCCCACCAAGUCGAUGAUCUUUAGGGGUCCUGAGAGGGAGAUCCCCCACACUGGUACUGAGACACGGACCAGAAUCCUACGGGAGGCAGCAGUGAGGAAUAGUGGACAAUGGGUGGAAGCCUGAUCCAGCCAUCCCGCGUGAGGGACGACGGCCCUAUGGGUUGUAAACCUCUUUUGUACGGGGAUAAACCUAUCUACGUGUAGAUAGCUGAAGGUACCGGACGAAUAAGCACCGGCUAACUCCGUG